UUCUUAGACCUGUGCAACGGUUUUUAAAAACACCGCUUCAGGGUGGGAACACAGCAGAGCACUUUUACCUAUCGUGUGCCGCAGUCAUCUGGGAAGGG
rnacentral:SRP_RNA from 1 species